GAGUUUGAUCGUGGCUCAGAUUGAACGCUGGCGGCAGGCUUAACACAUGCAAGUCGAGCGGGGGAGAUUGCUUCGGUAAUUGACCUAGCGGCGGACGGGCGAGUAAUACUUAGGAAUCUGCCUAUUAAUGGGGGACAACAUCUCGAAAGGGAUGCUAAUACCGCAUACGCCCUACGGGGAAAGCAGGGGAUCACUUGUGACCUUGCGUUAAUAGAUGAGCCUAAGUCGGAUUAGCUAGUUGGUGGGGUAAAGGCCUACCAAGGCGACGAUCUGUAGCGGGUCUGAGAGGAUGAUCCGCCACACUGGGACUGAGACACGGCCCAGACUCCUACGGGAGGCAGCAGUGGGGAAUAUUGGACAAUGGGGGGAACCCUGAUCCAGCCAUGCGCGU
rnacentral:rRNA from 1 species